ACGACCAUAUACUAUUUCUAUAUUUGUAUCCGACGAUACUUAUAACCGACAUUGUAACACCUUUAAUCGACAAAAUCGAAUAAAUUAUAACAUAUUUACAUCAAUAUAACUCAAUCGGACGAAAUAAAUAUAUUUGGCAAUAUCAAUUGUCUAUUCCGAAUAACUUUAAUCCUCUCCCGUGCCAGUACUGCUGCGCAUAGCAGGUUAGCCGAAAAGUGGAAUUCAUUUGCCAGUUGCAUUAAACGUUAGUUAACGCUACCCAUUAUACGUAAAUUACCGGAUAAAACUCUUACGAAGUUCAGGAAAUACGCGACAGACGAAGGUACAAAGAUUUGUUUUCCUACAGCCAAGAACGUGCUUACAGAGGCACUUCCAGACUGGGAAUUCAAUCUAGUAGUUACCAAAAGACACGACAGACGAACAAUACCCAUCACACACUAACACUCCUAGCUUAAAGAAAAUAAUAAUAA